rnacentral:lncRNA from 1 species
AUGGACGCUUGCCACGGACGAGCGGCAGGGCUGGGCGCCUCCCCGGUGCCAGCGGGCGCACGGGGCCAAAACUCACAAACAAAAACCGCAGCAGAUCGCUGGCAGCCCGUCCCGGGGAGGCGGCAGCCACUUGGCAGAGGAGCCAUGGAGGACCCGGUAGGGAGUAGGCGGCCGGCGCACAGAAAAGCCUCUGCAGCUUCCCCCACGGAAAGUGAGCCGGGCACCCGCCUCCCAGAAGGUCCCGGGAACCAGCGGGCACCGCCGGCCCCACCCCAUCUGCUCCAAACCCUUGCCACCUCGUGUGGGCACUGGCCACUCCACAUGGGGGCGGCCAUCCAACUUUGCAGCCCCAGUGGAAAGGGAUCUCUAGUUUCCAUUGACUGUUUGUGCUGCUGUCUGAUGGCCCCUACCGCACUCCAGCGAGGCCUGACCCCUAGCCCACUAAGGCCUCUCCUGCGUGUGGUGACCGACAGGGAGCCAGACCUCUUCCUGGCAUGCCAGUCACCUGCCAUCCAUCCAUCCACCCGUCUGUCCAUCUGUCCAUCCAUCCAUCUGUCUAUCCAUUCAUUUGUUCAGUAUCAGUGGAAAACCUACUAUGUGCCAGGUUCUGUACCUAGAGAUUGGGCAUCAGAAUGUUGAGCAAAACCUACUCAAUCCCGUGCUCUGGGCCAGACACAUGUGACGUCCUCCACGCGAUGGUCAUGCAGGCACCCCAGGCCCUUGCAAAGUCCAUAGAGAACCCCAACUACUGUCUGAAGCCUCUGAGGGGCCAGCCCCUGUGUCCCCCUAGAUCUGCCCACGAGGUCCCUGAAACGCAAUGGACCGGAUCUCAGUUGCUGUGCCUCCUCCCCAGCCACACCUGGGUGGGAGCAAGGACAGGAAGGCAGGAGGCCUUGGCAGCGGCCGGGCCCAGGGGCGAGUUGGCUGAGUGGCUUCAUCAGGGUCACUUUUCCAGGUGCCCCCACCACUGUGCAGACAGCUCACACAGGUAGGCCACGCACUCCAUGUGCAUGCGUCCCGGCCCGGGUGAGCUAGGCUGCUGUGCCCUGCCCCCCAUGCUCCCCAGACCCCACUAUAGCGUUCCAUGAAACAGAGCUGACGGACGGCUGGGGUUCCAGGCCUGAGCUCCUGGGACGGCUGGCGGUCCCGCCCUGUGUCAGUGCCUGGCUGAGCCCUGCACAGACCCUCACCAAUGGUGUCAGGCGCCUCCCCGACGGCUCCAGGGCCAGCCGCCUGCACCUUCCUGACUGGUCUGGCCCGACCCCUCAGCCAGCACCUCCGCCUCACUGCUCAGGCAGUGACCACACCUGAGGCGCCCACCCCCCCUCACCGACUCUAACCCCUCCUCCACCUUGCGGAGCCGUGGGGUGAGUGUCUGCUGAAGGCAAGGCUCCCGCGGUCCUUACAGCUGAGUUGUUGGAUGAGCGGGUGGGGGCUGGACAGAGAUGACGGGGGGGGCGGAGGGGUGCGGGAGGGGCCUCAUAAGUGUCCAUGAACGUGGGGGCCCAGCCCCAGCACUGUGCUUGCUGUGUGACCUUUGUCCUCUCAGCCUCCCCGUUCUCAUGUGUAAGACAGAGAACGGCCCCUGAUGCACUCAGGUUCACGAAGGCCGGCGCUUGCCUUCGUGCCUGGCCCGAAUUGCCCCCAGCAAUGUCACUGCCGUCACUGCCCUGGGUCUAGACAAUCUCUCUGCCACCUCUUCCUUUGGGCCACCCUCACAGAGGACCAGGGAAGCCCCGGGGCCCAGUGGAAACUCUGGUCCAGCUGCCUCCAGGAUAGAAGGGCAAGGAGCCAUCAGUGCUGUUGGCAGGAAAAGGGGCUCAGAACCCUUGAGAUCUCUGGACCCAAUGUCCUUCUCUGAGGAGCCACCAGGGUGCCCGGCCCUCCUGUAGGACCGUUGCCCCGGUCGGGGUCGAGGAGCUGGCAGACAAGCAGCUUCUCCAGACCUGUUCUCUCUGGACCUCACACCCGGGGGGUGGCCAGAAUGCGGCCCUCGAGAGCAGGGCUCGAGGAAGCUUGGGAGGAGGAGAAGGGGCCCGUUGGUCUCCCACCUGAGGGAUCCUUAUGGCCCUGCUCUUUCCACGGAGCCGAGGGCUAUGCUUGGUCCCUCUGCCCAGCCAGGGUCUCCCGGGUCUGGAGAGAGGGCUGGUGGGACAAACAGCUGCCCCUAAGACCCCCACAGGGGAGAGGAAGUGCAGUGAGACCCGCCACAUGAGGGUCUGCAGGCAGCCGCCACGGGGAGGCUGUGCCCACGGUGGCCUGAGUCCUGCCCGGCGGGCUUCCCUCAGGCACUCUCAGGGUCCACUCUCGGACACUCUGCGCAGGAUCAGAACCAUGGGGCCCUGGGGUUCCCUCUGUCCACAUGUUGUGGGGGGCCCUCCCCUCUGCACUGGGGCCUGGCCCGCCUGCCCUGGCCUCUGGGUGGGUCUUUGUCAUUCACUGUCUGCUCUGACCUUAACAACUAUCGCCUCCGGCGACAAGAUAGAAACUCGGGCAAUGGUACUGUUUACUGCAAGCACGAGAGCCAAGCAUGAGCUUUGCCUGCGUGGUUUGUCUAAGUGUCUGGGCGUCAGUUCCCCAAGGCCAUGGAGCCGGAUGGGGCAGGAAGGAAGCUGCCCAAGAAUGUCAGGCCUGGAGCCCUGGCCUGUUGUCAUCAGGAGGCAGCCAGAAGCUGGGAUCCUCCUGCAGGAAUGACCCCAGGGGCUGACCUCAGCCCUUCCAAGGUCACAGUCCAAGGAUCGGGUGCCCUCCUCUGUCAGGCAGUGGGCUUGGGGGGAGGAGGAGCUGGAAGGGCCAUAUCUCCCCCCGCCCCCAGCCCAGGCUGCCUCUCUCCCCACGCUGCCAGCAAAGUAAUAAGCUAUGCGUGUAGUGUAGAAAUAAAACAUGUUCUGCAGAACA